AUUGAACGCUGGCGGCAGGCCUAACACAUGCAAGUCGAGCGGUAGAGAGGUGCUUGCACCUCUUGAGAGCGGCGGACGGGUGAGUAAAGCCUAGGAAUCUGCCUGGUAGUGGGGGAUAACACUCGGAAACGGACGCUAAUACCGCAUACGUCCUACGGGAGAAAGCAGGGGACCUUCGGGCCGUUGCGCUAUCAGAUGAG
rnacentral:rRNA from 1 species